rnacentral:lncRNA from 1 species
AUUAGACACUAACACCAGUAUUGGUUUUAGCUCUAUUUUUUGUACCACCAUAUGGAUUUGUACAUUUUCCCCCAAACCUGGUCACCUAUUGCCAAAGACUGGGACUUUUUACAUCCCAUGGAGAAGUUUCCCAGCAUGAUUGAUCACCCACUGGAAAACUCUAAUAUUGUACAGUGGGCUCUUGAAAGUGAAGCAAAGAUUAUUCUUGGUGAAGGAGGAAUUGGACAAGCCCUGAAGAUAAAAUUUUGCCUGGAGAAGUGGUAAUAUGUAUAACUUGAUAAUAUGAGAGUCAGAGGACAGUAAUCUCACACGUUUUAGUGGCAUUAAUUAGGGCAGGCAUAGGAAGAUAGGAAAGACUGACUUGGAGGCUGUUAAAGUAUUUCAUGAAUGAAGUAAAGAAGAUUGCAGGGGGCCCCUUAAAUAACAGCAAUAGGAAGAGAUAGGAAAGAAUGUGAGGCAUUUUGAAAUAAGUAGCAAAACUUAUUGACUCGCUCACUGGAUAUGGGAAAUGGAGGAGAUGUUUGAAGAUAACUUCAGGUUUUUAAGACUAAUCAGAGAAAUAAUGUCACUAACAGACAGUGAAAUUGAGUUUAUUUGAGUUUUCUAAACAAGUGAGUUAAGUUUAGAAAGUGCCUUACUUAAAGCAUAAGUAAGAUAUAUGAUUGGUAUUUGAAUAUACUGGGACUGAAGCUUGUUGAUAAGGAUAGUACAAAGCCUAGUUGACCAUUCUGUGGAACCAAUAUAAAUUCCCUAUGGAGUCAAUAUUAUCCAAAAGGAGGACUAUUUUCCACUUGUAUGGAAGGAAAACAAAUACAAUUUUUAAACGUUUGAAUGAAUAAUAGAGAAGAAGCAAUGGAAUGGAGGUUAUUUUUACUCCAACUACCUAAACUCCAGGUUUUCUUAGAUCUUGGGAAGAAACUACCCCUUGUCCUGUUAAUGGUUGUGCCCUACAGAAAGUUGCCAAUCUACCUAAUGAAGAAACUGCUUACUACUCACUUCUUUGCAUCAACACCAUUCUAAAUAUGCCGGUUUUGAAAUGUGCUCAGGGAACCCAUACCAUCUGAUAUGAAUAGCCUUGAGGAACCAUAUGUAAUUCAGGGAAUUUGAUUGGUUCAUGAAGAAAGACCACAUCUACCACAUAGUUGGCUCCAAUUAAGUCUUUUUUAUUUAAAGGAGAAGAAAAUGUUAAAAGCAAAAAUAAGACUUCUUAUAGAGAACCAAAGAUAUUUUGAAGGAGUGAUAAAAAUGACCAUUGGUUAAAAAAUAUAAUAGGUGAUUUUAAUAUCAGUGAUCAGGGACAAAAAUAUAAAUAAUGAUUUGGAACAGCAAAGGGAGAAACACUAAGAAAAACACAAGGAAAUGGAGUGAAAUGAUCAGAAGCAAAACAUAAUUUGUGGAAAAUGGAGUAAGUGCAGGAGCAAAAGGAGUAAAUGUAAGAGAAACCCUAUUCAAAGAAAUAAUAGAAGAAAACUCAUUUGAGCUGAAGGAAAACUUGAGUUAUCAAAAUGAAAGUCCAUAGCAAUGACUGAGUAGAAUAAGUAAAUUACAUCUUUGCUCGUGUAAAUUUAUAUACAUAUGCUAAAUAUAUAGACAUAUCUAGGCAAAAUAUCUGUACACUAAUGGUGAAGAGAAAAUGUUAUACCUUUAUAACAUUUGUUAUAAAAUUGUAUAGAGCUGAUUAUUUACAAAAGAAAGAGCAUCACAGCAGCAUAGAAUUCCUGACUUGCAAUAUUGGAAAACAAGACAGUGCAACUAUGUUUAUAAAUCUUAGAGGAAAAGACUGCAAUUUAAGGAUCCUAUAUUUAGCCAAAAUAUCAUUUAUAGAGGAGGGCAAAACAAAGACUUUUUUAAAACAAUUAAGACUAUGAAUAUACCCAUUCAUUCUUCCUGGAGGAAUUACUUGAAGAAGUAUUAUAGCUAAAGGAAAAUUAAAACAGAUAUCCAAAGAGGAUAAAACAUUGUAUAAGAAUCAGUGGAAGGUAGUCUAUCUGAAAAUUUAUAGAUAAAUUUAAAGCAGUGAUAACUUUAAUUGUGAUGUGUGCUAAGGAAGAGUUCUCAAAAUAUGUUACAUACAAUAAGAAAUAAAAAAUAUGGCAUGGAA